UGAGGAAUAUUGGGCAAUGCCCGCAAGGGUGACCCAGCAACGCCGCGUGGAGGAUGAAUGUCGUAAGAUUGUAAUCUCCUGUUAGAGGGGAAGAAUAGUACCGGUUGGACCGGUAUAUGACUGUACCCUCAGAGAAAGCCCCGGCUAACUACGUGCCAGCAGCCGCGGUAAUACGUAGGGGGCAAGCGUUGUCCGGAUUUACUGGGUGUAAAGGGUGCUCAGGCGGAUUUGUAAGUCAGAGGUGAAAUCUUACAGCUUCACUGUGAAGCUGCCUUUGAUACUGCAAGGCUAGAGUAUGGAAGAGAGUGAUUGAAUAUCUGGUGUAGCAGUGAAAUGCGUAGAUAUCAGAUAGAACACCAAUGGCGAAGGCAGUCACUUGGUCCAUUACUGACGCUAAAGCACGAAAGCGUGGGUAGCAAACA
rnacentral:rRNA from 1 species